UUUUCUUAGAAUUUUUUUAAUUAUGUUAUUAGUAAAUUUCAAAAAAACUUUCCAAAACAUGUAGAGACAAAAUCUCCAAGCAUUCCAAAAUUCCCAAGACAAAAUAUCAACAAAAUUGAAGAAAAGAUUAAAGUGGUGGACAAAGGUCAUAAUGCUAAUAAUUUGGUUGUUCUAUACCAUUUGUGACUUGAUUUUGAGACUAUAAAAAGAGGUACGAGAACCAUAUUUCAACAACUAACAACCACCAAUUUUCACAUACCAACACCAAUUUUCACGUACCAAAUACGGCGCUGUGCAUACUUUUCUAACACAUUAAAAUUCAUCUCUAACAAGAACCUGUACAAAUUUUUUUCAAUCAAACAAACUCUCAUAACCAUACAUCACAAUCCACCAUUACUGAAACUUCAUCAAUCAAACAUAAACUCUCAUAAUCAUACAUCACAAUCCACCAUUAUUGAAACUUCAUCAACAACACCUCUACAACCUCAAACAAUAUCCAAACUCUCCAACGCAAUAACGAUAACCGAUCAGAGAAAAAAUUUUGAAACACUAAAAAAGAUUUUUUAUUAUUGCAGAUUGCAGAUCCACGCUCAUAGUGUUCAUGUUGCCAUCUCACUCGGACUUCCGCUGACAAAUCUCCGACGACAAUCCACACAAUUACCGCUCAAAGCACCCACGAACCGAACUCCCACGUCAGAGCCACGAUUGGGAACAAGGCUAAUUUUAUGGUUUCUCUUGGAGAAAGAGAUGUAAAUUUCUUUUGCUUACUGUGAUCUCUAUCUUCAAACGUGUGGAUGUGGUUUGUUAUUUGAUUUUUUUUUCUAAUAAUUUAAAUGCCACUUGUAGAGACAUGAUUAGGUGCUGUUUUUAUUUUUUAUAAAGUAGAAAAAUGAAUAUUGAAUGGCUCCAAGAGGUAUCACACAGCGGCACCUCACAUGCUGCUCCAUCUAACUUUUUUAGUUUUUAUAUUAUUUAUUAUUAUUAAUGUUCUUUUCAUCAAAAAAUAUUGUUAUAACUUAAUUGCUUUUGUCUAGAGUUUAUAUAUAUAUAUAUAUAUAUAUAUAUAUAUAUAUAUAUAUAUAUAUAUAUAUAUAUAUAUAUAUAUAUAACAAAAUACAAAAAAUAUUAAUGUUGUGUAGUUAGAUUUUUUUUUAUAUAUAAUAACAAAAAUACAAAAAAUAUAUAUUCUUUAAUUUCAUUUAACUUUUGUUAGAAUUUAAAUAUUCUAUAUUUUUUUAUGUCAUUGUGUUACUAACAUUUUCUCUUGAUUGCGAGGUACAACACUUGAAGUCUUUGGACUAUCUCAAAUUCCAUUUGCUUAUAUUAUCUCUGAUUUUUGUUUUAAUUUAUAUCCUGGGGUUGUAAUAAUUUUUAUUCCCGUCUAUUGAGUUUUGUAAUCCCCGCUCCCAAAGCCAUGUAAUAGCGUAGGAUUUACUUUUCCGCAUCUUAUUAACUGUUAUUUAACUGCCUAGAUGUAUGCUAAUAGGAUUGUAUGAAAAGACUUAAAAUUAAUCGUAGAUCACUAAACCCAAGAUAAAUAUCUGAAUACUAACACACUUGCACUCACUCACCUCUAGGGUACGCCUCUCUCGUUGCCUUCGGAAAUAAAAGGUCGUGUUCCUCGAAAUAUAGAGGUACCCAUUAGCAAAUGUCCCUCAAGAUAAAAUCGUCACUAAGUCCCUCGAUGACCCUCGAUUGUUGCCUACGAAAAAGUGACGAUCGCCCCUUCGAAUAUUGCUAAAGGUACCUCUACUUGUUGCCUUCAAACGACCUCGAUGACCCUUCGAUGACCCGCACGUCCAAUAUAACAGGGACUACCUACUCCUAUAUAGUAUGGAUAGUCCUGGGAACUUUAAAAAUUACAGAAAAAGAUCAAUCUAGGGUAAUGCUCUUAAUAUGCCUAGCUCUAUUAAAAAACAUCUUUUCAACACUUUUCAAAGACUAAGGCUACGCAUUUAGGCUAAAGUCCUUAUGUCCCUUUUCAAUUCAAAACAAACAAACAUGAGCUAAGCAAGUUAAGAGCCCGUAGACAACUACGGAUGAAAAGGGUGCUUACACCUUCCCUUUUCAUAACUUACCCCCCGAGCCCGUUUUCUUUCAAAAAGAUCAAUCUAGGGUAAUGCUCUUAAUAUGCCUAGCUCUAUUAAAAAACAUCUUUUCAACACUUUUCAAAGACUAAGGCUACGCAUUUACGCUAAAGUCCUUAUGUCCCUUUUCAAUUCAAAACAAACAAACAUGAGCUAAGCAAGUUAAGAGCCCGUAGACAACUACGGAUGAAAAGGGUGCUUACACCUUCCCUUUUCAUAACUUACCCCCCGAGCCCGUUUUCUUUCAAAAAGGUCUUUUUCUGUACUUUUUACCUUUCCUAACAUUGGACAAAAUAAAAGUCGGUGGCGACUCAUGCUCACCGCAACAUUGG